rnacentral:rRNA from 1 species
UACGUAGGGUGCAAGCGUUGUCCGGAAUUAUUGGGCGUAAAGAGCUCGUAGGCGGUUCGUCGCGUCGGCUGUGAAAACCUGAGGCUCAACCUCAGGCCUGCAGUCGAUACGGGCGGACUUGAGCAGCGGAGGGGGACGUGGAAUUCCGGGUGGAGCGGUGAAAUGCGCAGAUAUCAGGAGGAACACCGGUGGCGAAGGCGGGUCUCUGGGCCGAUAUUGACGCUGAGGAGCGAAAGCGUGGGGAGCGAACAGG